UCUCUGAUGGUAAGCAACCCCCACUUCCAACCGAGAGGUUGUGAGUUUGAGUCUCCCCAAGAGCAAGGUGGGAAGUUUUUGGAAGGAAGGAUGCCGGAGGUCUAUUAGGAAACAGCCUCUCUACCCCAGGGUAGAGGUAAGGUCUGUGUACAUACUACCCUCCCCAGAUCCCACUAUGUGGGAUUAUACUGGGUUGUUAUUGUUGUUGUUGUUGCCCUUGCAUAAAUUUCUGAUCCCGUCGAUGUUCUAGAGUCUAGACUGACGAAGGAUUUUCAGGUGAUCAACCAUGGAAUCCCAAAAAAUGUUCUGACUCAAACAAUGUCCACAUUGUAAGAUAUAUGGAUUUAUAUCUAGAUAUAUGGACUUAUAUCUACAUACAUAUGAACAANNN
rnacentral:lncRNA from 1 species